AGAAUAAUCUUAACUAUGCAUAUAAAGUGACAUCCAAAAGUACAAAUGCAUAUAAAGUGACAUCCAAAAGUACAAAUGCAUAUAAAGUGACAUCCAAAAGAAGAUAUUUUCAAAAUGGCAAAUAUUAGCUUUUAUACCCAGCAAGCACAUAACUUUAUUUAAACGUUGCGAGUUGGCUUAUGUAUGGUUAAAAGAUAACAAUCUAAAUUUCAAGGUUAUUAUAACAGGCAUUCAACACUCGUGCUAAAGACCUAAGCAAGUUGAAGAGGAUCCAAAUGAUUAUAAUUUUAUUAUAAACUUCAAAUUUUCGAAACUAUAUGUGUAUCUUUUUGCUGUCAUGUCAAGAAUGUUUUUUAUAAAA